AUCAGGGGUAAACCUGUGGAACUCGAACGAGCGAACGGGGAGAUUCAUCGUUCUCCGCGGGUCCGCGGGGGCGCGUUGUGCAUGCAYGGCGCUCGUCUCCGCGGCUCGCGGAGUGCGUGCACUCCUCCCUUAGUAAAACACCGCGACCCGUUGCUGGGUCGAACGCGCCGUGCGACUGUCCCGUCUCGCGAGAUGGAGUCGCGGCGUCGCGGCUCACGUGCGACGGUAAAGAACGAGGUUUGCGUCCGCUAGCGUCCGCGUUGCGGCGGCGGUUUCCCUCGGCCGGUCGGCGCGCGUCGGCCGACGAGGGGCGCCGUGUCUGCUGCAUCGGCUCGGACGGGACGCGUCCCGGUCUGCGGUGGUUUGUUUCGGGCACUCACAGGACCCGUCUUGAA
rnacentral:rRNA from 1 species